GACGAACGCUGGCGGCGUGCUUAACACAUGCAAGUCGAGCGGAAAGGCCCUGCUUUUGUGGGGUGCUCGAGUGGCGAACGGGUGAGUAACACGUGAGUAACCUGCCCUUGACUUUGGGAUAACUUCAGGAAACUGGGGCUAAUACCGGAUAGGAGCUCCUGCUGCAUGGUGGGGGUUGGAAAGUUUCGGCGGUUGGGGAUGGACUCGCGGCUUAUCAGCUUGUUGGUGGGGUAGUGGCUUACCAAGGCUUUGAGGGGUAGCCGGCCUGAGAGGGUGACCGGCCACAUUGGGACUGAGAUACGGCCCAGACUCCUACGGGAGGCAGCAGUGGGGAAUAUUGCACAAUGGGCGGAAGCCUGAUGCAGCAACGCCGCGUGCGGGAUGACGGCCUUCGGGUUGUAAACCGCUUUCGCCUGUGACGAAGCGUGAGUGACGGUAAUGGGUAAAGAAGCACCGGCUAACUACGUG
rnacentral:rRNA from 1 species